AAAGAUCUAUACUUGGAGUGGGAUGUUUCUUUAGGACUAUGGUUUGGAUGAGUCACUGCAACAGGGCAAUAUACAUACCAGGUAUAUCCAUCUUUUGGUCAUCUUCUCAUCACUCUUUUUCCUUGCAAUUGCAAGUAAUUUUGGGCAGCUUCUACUCCAAAAUCCUCAAGAGGUUGUUAUGACAUUGAAGAAUUUGGUUGCUACUUGUCCAAUCCAUAGUUUUAAAGGAAUCAACCACUCCACAAUUUUGUUUGUAACAGAUUUCAGCAUCAAGCUAUAUAUACCCCUUCGAUGAGGUAGGCUUCUUUUCACUGUUAUUUCUUAAUUUUAAUUGGCUGCGUUGUUCUCUAUGUAGGUAUCUUCGCUUCAAAGCAUAACCAGAAUUCAUGAAACAGAUUUACAUAUAAUAAACACAAACUUAUAUCUAUUAAGCUCAAUGUUACUCACUCGUUAAUCCAAACUCAGUACACCUGGACUCAAGUGCUAUUUCUUUAUUUAUCUACUAAAUAAUGGGACACCUUUUAUUUCUCUUUCGCUUCUUAUAUUUGCUGCUGAUGUGCUUAUUUUUACUCAAUCAACUCUUUUAGUUGAAGCUUGGUGCUCCCCGAACCCUCUCUCAUCUUAAAAAUUAUUUUCAUCCGAUUAUAUUUUUAAAUAGAUUAAGUUUUUUAUUUUGAAGAUUCUUUAUUUUUUUUUCUUUUUCUUAUGAAUUUGUUGCAUGGAGUUAGGUGAGAAAAAUGAUUUUAACUUAGUUAGAUUUAUAUUAAAUUGUUUUUAUUAUGUUUGAAUACUUUGCUUUAGAUCUCUAGAUUUUGAAUGAUUAUCUUAAUUAAGUUGAGAUUUUUAAAAAAAAAUAUAUAAUAAAUUAUUAUAGGUAAGAGAAGUUAUUAUUUAUGAUUUUGAUAGUGUCUUAGGUAGAUGAUCUAAAUAUGAAGGUGACGCGAUCACAUUAUUUUAAGUCUUAUGCAGGUUUAUGUGUUUUUUAAAUAUAUGUUAAAUGUUUGAGUUUGAGAUAAAUCUUAAUUGAGAAAAUAUUUUUAUAGUUUGAAGGAAUGAAAUUUGUUGUGUGCCAAUUUUGUGUUAGAAUACAAGAUUGGGAGAAAAUUUGAUCAAGCUAAAGAAAAUUCUUUUUGUUUUCUUUCUUCUUAUCUCUUUAAUAGAUUGAAUAUAAAUGAAAAUAAAAUAUUAAUUUGUUUAUUUAAUUGAUUUGUGGUUUUAUUUAAAUGGGUUAUGUUAUUAUACGAAAAUUGUUGUUAUGAAUGAUACAAACUAUAUGAAUUUGGACUCACAAUUAUGGGAUGACACGUGAACCAUUAAUUGAGUUGUGGUAUUAAGUAAAGACACGUGUUAUAACAUGGAUUUCCUUGUUUUCCUGAUAGUCUAAAAUAUUAUGCAUGAGAAGUUGGGGGAGUUAUAAUGCGUGAUAGUCUAAAAUAUUAUGCGUAAGUUAUAAUGAACUUACCUUAAUCAAUUACUCUUAAGUUCAAUUAUUAAUCUAAGUUUUGGCUUGAAUUAUAUGUUAUUGUCUAGUGAGACACAAAUAUUUUGAAAAUCACUAGUUGAUAUUUCAUUUGUUGAAUAUGUUAUAUAUAUAUGAUCUUUACUAUUUGUGUGUGUUGGUGUUUAUCAAAUUGAAUUGUUUUUGGAUUUCUAAUGAAAAUAUUUCCUUUUAUAUACUUUUCUUACUUAAAAAUUUGAAUAACUUACCCUUUAUGUAUAGUUCGCAUUAUGAUCUGUGAUGACUAUAUUAUCUAAAUAUAUACGUAUACAUACAUGUACAAGAACAAUAUUUAGAAGAGAUUGAAGUUUUAUUUGUGACUCUCACUAGCGCAAAAAUGCUAAUCAAGUGCGGUUAUUUUACAUUUACAAAUGCGGCUAUAGAGCCGCAUUUGAUCAACACGCAUUCGUAAAUAAGAGAGGUACAAAUGCGGCUCUAUAGCCGCAUUUGUAAAUACUAUUUAUAAGUACGGCUAUUUCAAAUAGCCGCAUUUGUAUAUUCGUCUGAAUGAGGGGUAAGGGUUUAGGGGUUUAGGGUUUACAAAUGCGGCUAUUACCAUAGCCACAUUUGUAAAUCAUGUUUUUGAUUUACAAAUGCGGCUUUGGUAAAUAACCGCACUUGUAAAUAGUGUUUUUUUUAGUGCAAUCUGUUUUGUCCCUAAACCAUAUAAAUUAACAUGCAUAUUGAUCAAAAGGUACCCAACCAGACAAAUACAUAAAUAUAGAGAUAAAUUCAGAGAAUCAAAAUGUACAUUACAAACAAGUAAUCAAAUUACAUAUAAAACCUAAACUAUUGAUCAGCUAUGCUAGAGUUAUAAAAAUUUACGAAAUAUGUGGACCAAGAAUGUCUCACAUAUGACAUGGCUUCCAAAUUCAUUGGUAUUUCUUCUGUGAAUAACUGCAUUGCAAAAUAUAGUUGACAUAAAUUAGUUUUUAGAUACAUAUAUGUUCAAGAAUUAUAAAAAUGAUUUAACAUAUCAUGUUACCUCUUUCCAACCAGUUUUAACACCUAGUCUUAUAAUGGUAAUCAUCCAUUGCAUAAUGUAAUAGCCACAGUCAUAGCUUCCUGGUUGUUUAUUACACUAUAAUUCAAUAAAAAGUAAAAGUUAGUAUAUUGAUAAACAAUGAUAAGAGAAAGAAAAAAAUUAUAAACCUUUAUUCUUAUCCAGUUCAAAUUAUUUGAAUUGGAUCGACCUUUUAGGAUGUUAUAUCCACGCCAUGAACUGGUUAAUACAAAAAACCUCGUUAGUAGAUGGUUAAUUAGUAAAAUACAAAGUUAAGUUUAUAGUGUACUUACGUAUCAAUGAUAUCCUUAAAUUUUGUGGGUAUCUUCUUGUGUAGGGAACAUAACCACACAACAGUCUUAUCAACAAUUGAUAAGACAAGUAACUGCCAAUGAUGCCUAUAUCAUUCAUGAAAAUAGUUUGUAAAUAUUUAAAACAUGAAAUAGUAAUAAUUGAUGACAUAUAAUUCAACUUACUCAUUAAUAUAAAAGCAUAAAUAAAUUUCUUUUCCCUCUUUUUCCAGGGUGUUAGUGAUGUAUGUUUGAGUCUCAUAUGACCUUGGUCCAACAGGAUUAGUAUAUGCAGGAUCUAAGAAUCCAAACACAUUUUCCUUCCCCUCAGUGAGACAAACUCCAUGCAAAAACCUACAAGUUAUUAGUUAAAGCAUAAGCAAUAAUAAUUUAACAUAAAGUAAAUUGAAUAAUAGGUAAAGAUACUUACAUCAUAAAAAAUUAAAUUAUAUUUAUAUUGAGCGCCUGAUUCCCAUAUACAAAUUCUAAUAAAUCUGUGUUGUACAUCAUUAGUGGCAGUUCAGUGUUUAUUUGAAAAAACGUAUCAUCCCACGGAACUACAAAAGGUUCAUUACCAAUCUGACUAGCAAUGAGACCUAAGGAAACUAUAGGAUCGUCAACUGGAACCUCACGCUUCUUCUCCGGACUUGGUUUCCGAAAAGGUUUCUACAAGAUAAAGAACAUUUGUAUUAAAUUAUAUGUAAUAUAUAAAUAUAAAUAAAAAUUAAUAUAAUGAAAUGAAAUUAUUACAUGAGGUUGGGGCAUAAAUUGAAUGAGGUCUCUGGGCCAGGCAACGAAUGUCUGAAAUGCAUCGGCCACAGUGGUUACCUCAUCUGAAGGUAGUGGAACACGAGCAUCAGGUACUCGUACUUUUUCAACUGUUACCUUCGCCACAUCAGGGGAGAGAGGAACGUUAUGUAAGGUGGUGGCCUCUUCAUAGACUUUUCCAAGGUCCACCACCCGAGGAAGUUUGUCGCCCGCUAUCAGUAGCUCACAAUCCUUCGUCUGCCCAAUGAUAUCAUCCCCUGAUGUUGUAGGAGUCGCACAACUCCCUUUUGUGCUCUUGGGAGUGGGACUAACAAGGGGUUGAAUCGGCUCAGCACAAAGUUGUUGCGAUAGAAACUCUUGUCGCAUUCAAUCAUUCUCCUUUCUCAUCUCUAGCCGCAUCAAAUCGGUCUCCCUUCUCAUCUCCUCCAUUAAUUCUUCACGUAUCUUAGUCUUCAUUUGAGUUUCGUUCUCUUUGAAGGAGGAGGAUGAAUGUCAUUCUGAAACUCCAAAAUAUAGUUUAAUUUCAACCCAUUGUCCAGCUUCACGAAUAGAACCACAGUGCUCAGGUCGUCCAAUUGCUUCAACCAGGAUAUCGUGACGACCUUCAACAACAAAUUUACAGUUGUAUUCCAAGGAAUCCUGCAAGAGAAAAAAAUCAUAUCAGUUUUUAAUAUAAUUAAUGCUUUAAAAUAAAUGAAAAUAACGAAAAUAGCUUACAAUUUUUUCGGUGAUAACCCCGGAUUGCUCAAAACUUGGUGCACCCGACUUUUUAAUUCGGGUCUUCUUCCAUUUUACAUGGCAAAAAGGUGGUGAUGGAGGAGAAGUGACCCCUGUUUCCACAUUCUCAGACGACAUCCCCUGUUUAGAUUGCUCUUUUUCCACCAUCAGUUCUUGCUCAAGUUUUCGAUACCCCUAACGAGACAUUACGUGUGGGGUAACUUUCUUCAAAGCUAUCUCUUGAGCUUUCUUCCGACGAUCCUGUCAUAAUUGAAAUAAAUAAAGUGAAGUAAAUAAGAUAAACUUAUUAAUGUUAUAUAAAUAAAAAAAGUUAAGUUACUUCACUUACCAUCCAAGCCUCAUUUUGACGACUUUCUUUAAAAAGACGCCAUGUCUCUUCAUCAAUAUGUUUGUACUUUAAACAUGGAUUUUCGUCUUUAAGGUCGCCAAAAACGUAUCUCGAAGUCAGUCUUGACUUAAAGGUACGAAAUUUAAGUCCGAUAUUGGAUAUAUUCUUUGAUUGAAGCGGUUCCACAUCAAGAAUUUCAAAGUUUGCCUGGAAAAUAACAUCACCAAAUUAAAAUUAAUCAAUGAAUAUUAAAAAGCAUUAUAUCAAAAUGUAAAGUUUACCAGAACAUCCUCCCAGAUCAUGUUCCAAUCGACCUUUGACACCUCAUCCCAUGAAUUAAUCAAAAUGGAGAGCCUCUCACGAGAAACAACUCCAAGAUAGCUCAUAAACUCAUCUGCUUUAGGACCAAAAGGCACUCUAGUGUUGACGUCAAUGUCAACACGUGUCUUCUCACCAGCAGCACGUCUCAAUGCGAGACGCUUCAAUCUAGUAGGUCCUAAGCUACCUCGUCCGCAUCGAGGUCUGAGUGGGGUUUGAUCGUCAUCCAUGUCUCUGUUAAAAAAAUUAGGUAACAAACAUUAGUUAAUCUGCAUCGAAUUAAAAUCAUAUAAAAAUAAUACAUAAAGUUCUAAAUGCUUAUUUACGGGUUGCAUGUGGGUUGAAUGUUCAUAUGUAAAUUCCUUCACUGUGGUCUUUACGGGUUGCAUGUAGAUCAUCAAGUACAUCGUCAUCUUUAUUAAUUAUCAUUGGUGUGAAUGAACGGGGGUCACCAUUUUCAAUUUCAUUUAUGGCCUCCCCUUGUUUUUUCCCGUGUAAAACGACAUACCAAUGUUCUGACGUAGGAUCUUUCACGUAGAAAACUUGAGAUGCUUGUUGAACCAUUAUAAAUGGCUCAUCUCGAUACCCUAUCUUUCGAAAGUCCACUAGUGUGAAUCAUGAUUUAUCAAUUUUAACCCCACUUUUAUUGUCAACCCAUUUACACUUGAAAACUGGAACGCAAAACUUAGUGUAGUCAACCUCCCAUAUCUCUUCUAUAAACCCAUAGUAUGUCAUUGAUCCAAGUACUGGAUUUGUAUCUUUCGAAGUCGAAAACUGUAUUGACUCGACUUCAAGAGUAACACCAGAAUUUUGAACUGUACUCUUUUCAUCCAUGGACUUUAGGUAAAAUAUACAAUUAUUCACUUCGUGUGUUGUACAUGAGAUGACAUCAAACUUCAAUCCAGCAGCCAACCAGGUCAAGGUCUCUUAUGCCGUUGAAUCCUUGAACACCUCGUCUUUAAACCAAGGCAUGAAAGUUCUAUUAUGUUCCAUCAAGACUCAUUUCUCUGCUUGUCUUGGGUUAUUUGUCUUCACAAUGGCUUUAUGAGCUUCUAUGUAAGGUAUAACUUCAUUUGUGUUAUUCAAUAUGUAUAAAUGUGCUUGCAAGACUUCUGAUCGAGAUUUGCUUACAAUACUCACACCACGUAAACAUUUACUUGUAGAAUGCCUGUGGUGCCAUGAAUUAGCUGGAAAACCUAUUGAAUUUGCUUUUGUCAUGUACUCUGAACAAAAUUCAAUACUUUCUUAAGCUAUGUACCUUUCAAUCAUUGAAGCCUUUGGACGAUAAUGAUUUUUCACAUAACCUUUUAAAAUUUUCAUAUACCGCUCAACAGGAUACAUCCAUCUUAAGUACACUAGUCCACACAAUCUAACCUCUCUUACCAGAUGCACCACUAGA
rnacentral:lncRNA from 1 species